rnacentral:rRNA from 1 species
CACUCCUGCGGGAGGCAGCAGUGGGGAAUAUUGGACAAUGGGCGCAAGCCUGAUCCAGCCAUGCCGCGUGAGUGAUGAAGGCCCUAGGGUUGUAAAGCUCUUUCACCGGUGAAGAUAAUGACGGUAACCGGAGAAGAAGCCCCGGCUAACUUCGUGCCAGCAGCCGCGGUAAUACGAAGGGGGCUAGCGUUGUUCGGAUUUACUGGGCGUAAAGCGCACGUAGGCGGACUAUUAAGUCAGGGGUGAAAUCCCGGGGCUCAACCCCGGAACUGCCUUUGAUACUGGUAGUCUUGAGUUCGAGAGAGGUGAGUGGAAUUCCGAGUGUAGAGGUGAAAUUCGUAGAUAUUCGGAGGAACACCAGUGGCGAAGGCGGCUCACUGGCUCGAUACUGACGCUGAGGUGCGAAAGCGUGGGGAGCAAACAGGAUUAGAUACCCGUGUAGUUCCA